rnacentral:rRNA from 1 species
GACGAACGCUGGCGGCGUGCUUAACACAUGCAAGUCGAACGGAAAGGCCCCUUUGGGGGUACUCGAGUGGCGAACGGGUGAGUAACACGUGAGUAACCUGCCCUUGACUUCGGGUUAACUUCAGGCAACUGGGGCUAAUACCGGCUAGGAAUCCUUGCUGCAUGGUGGGGGUUGGAAAGCUUCGGGGGUUUGGGAUGGACUCGCGGCUUUUCAGCUUGUUGGUGGGGUAGUGGCUUACCAAGGCUUUGACGGGUAGCCGGCCUGGGAGGGCGAACGGCCACAUUUGGACUGAGGUACGGCCCAGACUCCUACGGGGGGCAGGGGGGGGGAAUAUUGCACAAUGGGGGGAAGCCUGAUGCAGCAACGCCGCGUGCGGGAUGACGGGCUUCGGGUUGGAAACCGCUUUCAGCAGGUGCGAAGCUUGUGGUGACGGUACCUGCAGAAGAAGCACCGGCUAACUACGUG